rnacentral:rRNA from 1 species
AAUCAACGCUGGCGGCGUGCCUCAGACAUGCAAGUCGAACGCGAAAGUCCCCUUCGGGGGACAAGUAGAGUGGCGCACGGGUGAGUAACACGUAGGUAAUCUACCUUCGGAUGGGGAAUAACAACCGGAAACGGUUGCUAAUACCGCAUAAUGCAGCGGCACCUAAUGGUGACAGUUGUUAAAGCGGGGGAUCGAAAGACCCCGCGUCUGAAGAGGAGCCUGCGGCGGAUUAGCUAGUUGGAAGGUAAUGGCUUACCAAGGCGACGAUCCGUAGCCGGCCUGAGAGGGCGGUCGGCCACACUGACACUGACAUACGGGUCAGACUCCUACGGGAGGCAGCAGUCGGGAAUUUUGGGCAAUGGGCGAAAGCCUGACCCAGCAACGCCGCGUGUGUGAAGAAGGCCUGCGGGUUGUAAAGCACUUUCAGUGGGGAAGAAAGACUUGGUGUGAAUAGCGCCGAGUCUUG